rnacentral:rRNA from 1 species
ACUGGAACUGAGACACGGUCCAGACACCUACGGGUGGCAGCAGUCGAGAAUCAUUCACAAUGGGGGAAACCCUGAUGGUGCGACGCCGCGUGGGGGAAUGAAGGUCUUCGGAUUGUAAACCCCUGUCAUGUGGGAGCAAAUUAAAAAGAUAGUACCACAAGAGGAAGAGACGGCUAACUCUGUGCCAGCAGCCGCGGUAAUACAGAGGUCUCAAGCGUUGUUCGGAAUCACUGGGCGUAAAGCGUGCGUAGGCUGUUUCGUAAGUCGUGUGUGAAAGGCGCGGGCUCAACCCGCGGACGGCACAUGAUACUGCGAGACUAGAGUAAUGGAGGGGGAACCGGAAUUCUCGGUGUAGCAGUGAAAUGCGUAGAUAUCGAGAGGAACACUCGUGGCGAAGGCGGGUUCCUGGACAUUAACUGACGCUGAGGCACGAAGGCCAGGGGAGCGAAAGGGAUUAGAUACCCCUGUAGUCCUGGCAGUAAACGGUGCACGCUUGGUGUGCGGGGAAUCGACCCCCUGCGUGCCGGAGCUAACGCGUUAAGCGUGCCGCCUGGGGAGUACGGUCGCAAGAUUAAAACUCAAAGAAAUUGACGGGGACCCGCACAAGCGGUGGAGUAUGUGGCUUAAUUCGAUGCAACGCGAAGAACCUUACCUGGGCUUGACAUGUAAUGAACAACAUGUGAAAGCAUGCGACUCUUCGGAGGCGUUACACAGGUGCUGCAUGGCCGUCGUCAGCUCGUGUCGUGAGAUGUUUGGUUAAGUCCAGCAACGAGCGCAACCCCUGUUGCCAGUUACCAGCACGUGAAGGUGGGGACUCUGGCGAGACUGCCCAGAUCAACUGGGAGGAAGGUGGGGACGACGUCAGGUCAGUAUGGCCCUUAUGCCCAGGGCUGCACACGUACUACAAUGCCCAGUACAGAGGGGGCCGAAGCCGCGAGGCGGAGGAAAUCCUAAAAACUGGGCCCAGUUCGGACUGUAGGCGGCAACCCGCCUACACGAAGCCGGAAUCGCUAGUAAUGGCGCAUCAGCUACGGCGCCGUGAAUACGUUCCCGGGUCUUGUACACACCGCCCGUCACAUCAUGGAAGCCGGUCGCACCCGAAGUAUCUGAAGCCAACCGCAAGGAGGCAGGGUCCUAAGGUGAGACUGGUAACUGGGAUGAAGUCGUAACAAGGUAGCCGUAGGGGAACCUGCGGCUG